rnacentral:lncRNA from 1 species
UCCCCUUCCCGACUCCCUCGGCGCUCCCUAAACCCCAACAAUUCUCCCCAAAAAGUGGGGAAAAUCAGAUUUUUCCCUUUUUUUCCCCUUUUUUUCCCCCAUUUUCCCCANAAAAUCCCAAAUCUCAAACCCUGAGAAAAUCCCAAAUCUGGGGCAAAAAUCACAAAUAUCAAACCUGGAGAAAAUCCCAAACCCGGAGAAAAAUCCCAAAUCCCAAACACAGAGAACAUCCCAAACCCAGAGCAAAUCCCAAAUCUGAGCAAAUCCCAAAUCCAGAGAAAAUCCCAAAUCCCAAACACAGAGAAAAUUCCAAACCUGGAGAAAAUCCCAAAUCUGAGGCAAAAUCCCAAAUCUGGGACAAAUCCCAAAUCUUGGGCAAAAUCCCAAAUCCCAAACACAGAGAAAAUCCCAAAUCCCAAACCCAGAGCAAAUUCCAAAUCCCAAACCUGGAGAAAAUCACAAACCCGGAGAAAAUCCCAAAUCUGGGGCAAAAUCCCAAACCCGGAGAAAAUCCCAGACCCAGAGUAAAUUCCAAAUCUGAAGCAAAAUCCCAAAUGCAGAGCAAAUCCCAAAUCCAGAGCAAAUCCCAAAUGCAGAGCAAACCCCAACCUUGGAGCAAAUCCCAAAUCUGGAGCAAAAUCCCAAAUCCUAAACCUGGAGAAAAUCCUAAAUCCAAGAAAAUCCCAAAUCUGGGGCAAAUCAGAAAUCCCAAACACAGAGAAAAUUUCAAACACCGAGAAAAGCCUAAAUCCGGAGCAAAUUCCAAAUCUGGGACAAAAUCUAAAAUUCCAAACCUGGAGAAAAUUCUAAAUCUGGAGCAAAUCCUAAAUCUGGAACAAAAUCCCAAAUCCAGAACAAAUCCCAAAUGCCAAAGGUGGAGCAAAUCCCAAAUCCAGAGCAAAUCCCAAACCUGGAAUAAAUCCCAAAUCCCAAAUCCCAAAUUCCAAACUCAGAAGAACAAAACCCAAACCUGAACCUGGAGCAAAUCCCAAAUCCCAAACCUGGAGAAAAUCCUAAAUCCGGAACAAAUCCCAAACCUGGAACAAAUCCCAAAUCUGGAAUAAAUGCCAAAUCCCAAAACCA